rnacentral:rRNA from 1 species
GACGAAGGGGGCUAGCGUUGUUCGGAAUUACUGGGCGUAAAGCGCGUGUAGGCGGUUGCCCAAGUCGUGUGUGAAAGCCUUGAGCUCAACUCAAGAAAUGCACUCGGUACUGGGUGACUAGAGGACCGGAGAGGAUAGUGGAAUUCCCAGUGUAGUGGUGAAAUACGUAGAGAUUGGGAAGAACACCAGUGGCGAAGGCGGCUAUCUGGACGGUUUCUGACGCUAAGACGCGAAAGCGUGGGGAGCAAACAGG